rnacentral:rRNA from 1 species
AUUGAACGCUGGCGGCAGGCUUAACACAUGCAAGUCGAGCGAGCGGCGGACGGGUGAGUAAUGUCUGGGAACCUGCCUGAUGUAUGGGGCUAACUACUGGAAACGGUAGCUAAUACCGCAUACCAUCGGAUGUGCCCAUAUGGGAUUAGCUAGUAGGUGGGGUAAAGGCUCACCUCGGCGACGAUCCCGAGCUGGUCAGAGAGGAUGACCAGGCAAACUGGAACUGAGACACGGCCCAGACUCCUACGGGAGGCAGCAGUGGGGAAUAUUGGACAAUGGGCGCAAGCCUGAUGCAGCCAUGCCGCGUGUAUGAAGAAGGCCUUCGGGUUGUAAAGUACUUUCAGCGGGGAGGCGUUACCCGCAGAAGAAGCACCGGCUAACUCCGUGCCAGCAGCCGCGGUAAUAC